GACGAACGCUGGCGGCGUGCUUAACACAUGCAAGUCGAACGAUGACGACCGAGCUUGCUCGGUCUGAUUAGUGGCGAACGGGUGAGUAACACGUGAGCAACCUGCCCUUCACUCUGGGAUAACCUCGGGAAAUCGGGGCUAAUACCGGAUAUGAGCUCCUGUCGCAUGGCGGGUGUUGGAAAGUUUUUCGGUGAAGGAUGGGCUCGCGGCCUAUCAGUUUGUUGGUGAGGUAGUGGCUCACCAAGGCGAUGACGGGUAGCCGGCCUGAGAGGGCGACCGGCCACACUGGGACUGAGACACGGCCCAGACUCCUACGGGAGGCAGCAGUGGGGAAUAUUGCACAAUGGGCGAAAGCCUGAUGCAGCGACGCCGCGUGAGGGAUGACGGCCUUCGGGUUGUAAACCUCUUUCAGCAGGGAAGAAGCGAAAGUGACGGUACCAGCAGAAGAAGCGCCGGCUAACUACGUG
rnacentral:rRNA from 1 species